GCCGGGAGUGGUGGCACGUGCCUGUGGUCCCAGCUACUCGGGAGGCUGAGGUGGGAGGAUGGCUUGAGCCCAGGAGUUCUGGGCUGUAGUGCGCUAUGUCAAUAGGGUGUCUGCAUUAAGUUUGACAUCAGUAUGGUGACUUCCUGGUAGCAGGAGACCACCAGGUUGCCUAAGGAGGAGGGAACCUACCCAGGUCGGAAAUGAAGUAGGUCAAAACUCCCAUGCUGAUCAGUAGUGGGAAUGCACCUGUGAAUAGCCACUGCACUCCUGCCUGGGCAACAUAGCAAGACCCCCUCUCUU
ensembl:misc_RNA Metazoa_SRP Metazoan signal recognition particle RNA